AUGCUGGAGUUUUAUGCGUAUCGCAUACAACAACGUCUGAACCAAGCUUCAACAUUGCAAAUGAGUGGACGUUUGUUCCUGCAGUUCUUAGUUGAUGCAGCAAUGUGCAUUGAACAGUGGAGACUAAAUUGGUACAGGACAAACCAAGGUAAGUUGAGGACAGAACUGUACAGAGGACUGCAUGAUGCAAUAGAAAAUGGAGAUACACGAACCGAACAAGUUGGACAAAGAAUCAUACUACCCUCAUCAUAUAAUGGCAGUCCAAGAAAUAAGCAGCAAAACUACCAAGAUGCCAUGGCGACUUGUCGUUGGGCUGGCUAUCUUGAUCUCUUCACUACUUUUACAUUCAAUCCAAAAUGGCUGGAAAUACAGGAUAUGUUGGAUCUGAUUCCAGGCCAGAAACCCGAGGAUCGUCCAGAUAUUGUUGCCAGAGUAUUCAUGUUAAAACUGAAGGAACUUAUGAAUGACAUAAAGAAUGGAAAGUGUUUUGGACAAACAAUUGCAAUUGUCUACACUAUAGAGUUCCAGAAAAGAGGCCUCCCGCAUGCACACAUACUGGUGUUUCUACACCCAGAUGAUAAAGAUCCAAGUCCUUCCCAGAUCGACAAAAUCAUAUCAGCCGAAAUUCCUGAUAAGAAUAGUGAUCCAGAAGGGUACGAAGCAGUGCAAAAUUACAUGAUACAUGGUCCAUGUGGUCAAGCACACCCCAAAUCACCAUGCAUGGUCGAUAAAAGUUGUGCCAAACAUUUCCCCAAGAAUUUUUGCACUGAGACUACCAUAGAUGAAGAUAACUAUCCAGUAUAUAGAAGGCGAGAUGAUGGCAACACUGUGGACAAAAAUGGAGUGAAGCUAGACAAUAGAUUUGUUGUGCCAUACAAUAGAAACCUACUGGUCAAGUAUCAAGCCCACAUAAAUGUUGAAUGGUGCAACAGAUCAAGGUCUAUAAAGUAUUUAUUCAAAUACAUCCACAAAGGAGAAGAUCGAACAACCGUCUUGAUAGAAGCGGAAGACCAACAAAGUGAAACAAGAGCUAGCAAAUUAACAAACAGGGACGACGAAAUCAAGAGGUACCUUGAUGCCCGGUACAUAUCUGGAUGUGAAGCCGCAUGGCGCAUAUUUCAGUUUCCUCUUCAGUACAGAGAGCCUGCGGUUGAAAGGUUACAAUUUCACCUAGAAAAUGAACAUGUCGUGGUGUUCCCGGACUCAAUGGAUUUAGAUCAAAUUGUAUCCCGGCCUAACAUAGAAAAGACAAUGUUCACAGAAUGGAUGACAGCCAACCAGUUGCAUGAAGAAGCUCGCAGUUUGACGUAUGCACAGUUUCCAACAAAAUGGACUUGGCAUGCACAAGAGAAAGAAUGGACGAAAAGGCGUGGUGAAAAAAAAACAUAG
rnacentral:rRNA from 1 species